rnacentral:rRNA from 1 species
GUCGAGGGGUAGAAGCUUUCGGGCUUUGAGACCGGCGCACGGGUGCGUAACGCGUAUGCAAUCUGCCUUACACUAAGGGAUAGCCCAGAGAAAUUUGGAUUAAUACCUUAUAGUAUAUUGAUGUAGCAUUACAUUAUUAUUAAAGAUUUAUCGGUGUAAGAUGAGCAUGCGUCCCAUUAGCUAGUUGGUAUGGUAACGGCAUACCAAGGCAAUGAUGGGUAGGGGUCCUGAGAGGGAGAUCCCCCACACUGGUACUGAGACACGGACCAGACUCC